rnacentral:rRNA from 1 species
UCACCUGGUUGAUCCUGCCAGUGGUAUAUGCUUGUCUCAAAGAUUAAGCCAUGCAAGUCUAAGUAUAAGUUAUUCUUUGACGAAACUGCGAAUGGCUCGGUAAAACAGCAAUAAUUUCAUCGGUGAUGAGUUUACUCACGGAUAACCGUAGUAAUUCUAGAGCUAAUACGUGCUAUCAAGGUCGGGUUUUAUGCUCGAUCGUGCCGUUUAGAUAACAACGCCAACAAAUUGGUGAUUCAUAAUCGUCUUUCUGAUCGCUAUUGUAGGGUAGCGACGCACCGUUCAAAUUUCUGACCUAUCAACUUUAGAUGGUAAGGUAGUGUCUUACCAUGGUGGCAACGGGUAACGGACCGUGGGUGCGGGACUCCGGAGAGGGAGCCUGAGAAACGGCUACCACAUCCAAGGAAGGCAGCAGGCGCGCAAAUUACCCAAUUCAAAAACUGAGAGGUAGUGACAAGAAAUAUCAAUAGGUAAUCCUAUGGGUUGCCUAAUUGGAAUGAGAACAAGCUAAACAGCUUAUCGAGAAUCCAGCAGAGGGCAAGUCUGGUGCCAGCAGCCGCGGUAAUUCCAGCUCUGUAAGCGUAUACCAAAGUUGUUGCAGUUAAAACGCUCGUAGUCGGAAGUGGGUAAUUUCGGAGGAGUACGUCCGCCAAGUGCGUAUUCGCCGUUAUCGCCUUUGUGUGAAGUGUGUAGGAUGAAGCGCAUUUAAUUGCGAACGUCUUGAAUCACGCAUCCACUGUUUACUGUGAAAAAAUCAGAGUGCUCAAAGCAGGAAAUUGUUUCUUGAAUGUAUUAGCAUGGAAUAAUAGAAUAGGACUUGGUCUUAUUUUGUUGGUUGUUGUUAGGGCUGAGUAAUGAUUAAGAGGGACAGUUGGGGGUAUUUGUAUUCCGGUGCUAGAGGUGAAAUUCUUAGAUUACCGGAAGACAAACAGCUGCGAAAGCGUCUGCCAAGGAUGUUUUCAUUGAUCUGAACGAAGUAGGGGAUCGAAGACGAUCAGAUACCGUCGUAGUCUUUACUAUAAACGAUGAGGACUGGGGAUCGGGUGAGGUUCUAUGAUGGCCCAUCCGGCACCCUUCGAGAAAUCAAAGUGUUUGCUUUCUGGGGGGAGUAUGGUCGCAAGGCUGAAACUUAAAGGAAUUGACGGAAGGGCAUCACCGGGUGUGGAGCCUGCGGCUUAAUUUGACUCAACACGGGAAAACUUACCAGGUCAGGACAUAGUGAGGAUUGACAGAUUGAGAGCUCUUUCUUGAUUCUAUGGUUGGUGGUGCAUGGCCGUUCUUAGUUGGUGGAGUGAUUUGUCUGGUUAAUUCCGUUAACGAGCGAGACCUGGGCGUGCUAAAUAGGUGACAUUAUGCGUAUUCACGUAAUAAGAGGUUGUGUUAGUGAUCAUGCUUUUCUGAAGUGUGUGAACGGACACAUGCUUGUGUUUGCGAGAGUAGUGUUAAUAAAUUUUGUUCCUACUUAGACGGACUGUGGGCGUCUAGUCCACGGAAGCUCCAGGCAAUAACAGGUCUGAGAUGCCCUUAGAUGUUCUGGGCCGCACGCGUGCUACACUGAGUGGUUCAACGGGUGAGGUUGCAUGAAAAUGUUUCCGAAUCUUGAAAUCCGCUCGUGAUUGGGAUUGACGGUUGCAAUUUUCUGUCAUGAACGAGGAAUACCUUGUAAGCGUGAGUCAUCAUCUCGCGCUGAAUACGUCCCUGCCCUUUGUACACACCGCCCGUCGCUCCUACCGAUUGAGUGGUCCGGUGAGGCUUUCGGAGCUAGACGAAAAGAGCGCUUCGCUCGACUUGUCAGGUAAAGUCAGUCAAACCUUAUCAUUUAGAGGAAGGAGAAGUCGUAACAAGGUUUCCGUAGGUGAACCUGCAGAAGGAUCAAGCUA